rnacentral:tRNA from 1 species
GCGGGCGUGGCGAAAUGGUAGACGCACCGGACUUAAAAUCCGGGUCCUGUAAGGAGUGUCGGUUCAAGUCCGACCGCCCGCACCA